rnacentral:lncRNA from 1 species
GCAUGGGUUUAGGAAAAUUAGAAGAGAGUAAAUGGAUGGUGGUUAUAGAAUAAACUCUUUUAAGGAGUUUUUGCUAAUAAGGGGUAUUGAGAGGAAUGUGAGGCCAAAAAAGAGUUGUUUCUUUUUUUUUUUUUAAAGCAGUACAUGCCACUGCUGAUAGGAAUAAUCAUGGAGUGAUUCAUGAUACAGGAGAGAGGAAGACAAUAUCUGGAGUGGUUUUCCUGAGUGCACAAGGGGAAGGAUUGACUUUACAUAUCCCAAGACACUUCAUAUAAAUGAGCAGGAGGGAAUGCAGGGUCUAUGGGCACGUAGGUGACUGAAGAGUGAGAUAGAGAAUGUGAAGAAUAUGAGAUAAUAUAUACGGGGGCCUAACAAAUAGAAGGCAUACAAAUGUUAGUUCUCUUUGGACUUUUUUUUUAGCGUUAAUGCUAACAACCUGGAGCCACAGACAGCUGUUUUUACUAAUCAAUGGGUCGUUGAGAGCAGAAUUAUUUGGCUUUAGAAAAUUGUGCAAGGCAAAAUGUGGGUGGAAUAUGGAUACAUGUGGCAUAUUGGAUAGGAUUAUUUGGCUGUAUAUAAUUUAAAAAAACAAAGAAAACAAGACAGGGUUUCUUUUCCUCAUGUGAAAGCAGUCUAGAGGGGAGGAGGGGGAGAAUAGAGGCAGUAUUUGAAAAGAUUAUGGCUGAGAGUUUUUCAGAAUUGAUAAAAGGCGCUUAUCCACAGAUUCAGUAAACUUAGUGAAUCUCGAGAGGAAUAAUAAAAAGAACUCCAUAUCUCAACACAUCAUUAGUAGAACUGAGCAACACUAAAGACAAAGAGAACAAAAAUACCAGAUUACUUUCAAAGAAAAGGCAGUUAGGGAGACAGCUGACUUCCCAACAGCAACCAGAACUAGGGACAGAUGAAUGGCACUGUGAGUGGGAAGAAAAUAAUUCCUAACUUAGAAUUCUAUAGCCAGAGGAAAUAUCUUUCAAGAUUGAGGGUGAAAUAAAGACAUUUCCAAACAAAUACAUAAAUAAGCAAGCAAGCAAAUAAACAAAAACUGAGUUUUCCACCAAGAGAAUCUCAACAAAAGAAAUUCUGAAGGAUAUAUUUCAGGCCAAAGGAAAGUGAUAGAGGGUCUUGGAUACAAGAUAAAUUGAAGAGCAAAGCAAAUGGCAAAUAUGUGGGUAAAUCUAAAAAACACAAAGACAAAAAGCAAAAGUAAAAAAUGGACUGUAGAAACAGUGGGGUUAAAAACAGAGAAUCAAAAUUUAUGACAAAUGUAAUUCAAGAGAAGGGUAGAGCGAUAAAAAAUAUUUAAGGUCUUUGGAAAAGGAUUAUAAGCAUUGAUUAGCUUUAUACUUUGAUAAACUAAGCAGGUAUGUUGCAAUUCCUAGGGUAAAAACAACAAGAAACAGCAUUUAACUUCCAAACUAGGGCAAAGAAAAACAGGAAUUUUAAAAAGUAAUCAACAGAAAAAGAAAUAAAGGAGAAGAAAGGAAACAUUGACUAGGAAGGAUAAAUAGGAAGUAUGAAAUAUGAUAAACCCAAAUAUAUGUGUAUUUUAAUUAUUACAUUAAUUUUUUUUAAAGAUUUUAUUUUUUUCCCUUUUUCUCCCCAAAGCCCCCGGGUACAUAGUUGUGUAUUUUUUUGUUGUGGGUCCUUCUAGUUUUGGCAUGUGGGUGCCGCCUCAGCAUGGCUUGAUGAGUGGUGCCACAUCCGUGCCCAGGAUCCGAACCAGUGAAACCCUGGGCUGCUGAAGUGGAGCGUAUGAACUUGACCACUCGGCCAUGGGGCUGGCCCCUACAUUAAUUGUUAAUGGACUAAAUGUUCUCGUUAGAGGAAAAAUAUUGUCAAACUGGACAACAAAACAAAACCCAACUAAAUGAGGAUUAUAAGGAGCACAUCUAAGACACAAAGAUAGAGACAGACUGAAAAAGAAAUUAAGAACAAACCCUCUUGCAAAUACUAACCAAAAUAAAGUUAAUAUAGUACAGUAAUUAGAUUUUAGGACAAAAAGCAUUAAUAGUGAUGAAACAGGACUUUCAUAAUGAAGUUUUCGGUCCAUCAGGAAGAUAUGACAAGAUUGAAUUUGUAUCUAAUAAUAUAGCCUCAAAAUAAAAUAAAAGUUGACAUAACUAAAAGGAGAAAUAUACACAUCCACAAUCAUCCGAGGGACAUUUUAAAAUCCCUCUUUCAAUAAGUGAUAGAACAGAGGGAAAAUCAGUAUAGAUACACACAAUUUGAACAUGGUUAACAUAUCUAAUACACAAACAUAAAAUUCUGUGCCUAAUAACUGCAGAAUACAUGUUCUUUUCAAGCCCACAUGGAACAUUUACAAAAACUGACUAUAGAUUGGGCCACAAAACAACUCUCAGCAAAUUUCAAAGGAUUGAGAUAAUACAGAAUAAGUUUUCUGACCACAAUGUAGUUUAGGUAAAAAUCACUCACAAAGAGAUGGCUAGAAAAAAUCUUCUAUGUUUGGAAAUCAAGAAACACAUUUGUAAAAAACCCAUGGGUCAAAGAAACCACAUGGAAAUUAGAGAACAUUUUAACCUGAACGAUAAGAAAAACACUAACGUACAAGUUUGGUCUCAGGAUAAAGUCUAGGUAGAAGAUAGACUUUGGAUUAAACAGUUUAUGGGUAGCAACUGUAGAUAAGUGGAUGAAUUCAACCAAACAGUACACAUAGAAGGGCCAAUUAAUAGAACACUAAGAGGCACCAUCCUUUAAAAGGCCAGCAAAUAAGGAGGCGGUCAGGACAAUAAGGGGAGAUGAUCAGACAGUACCUCUGAGACCAGAGUAAGCAAGAACCCAGCCCUCGGCCCCCAUGUUGCAGGUAGAUUUGUGCUUUAGAUUGCCUUCUUCAAGACUGUCUAAAUCCUCCUCUAGUUCCUGGGGCAAAGCAAGGCACCCUGAGCCUGGAUUUGGUCCCACGUGGGGUCUAGUCGCCAGAAGUGCCUCUCUUGAAAUUUUCUAGGUCACGUUUUGGUGCCUAGGACAGGUGCCAUCUCUCCCCUUUGAGGCACUCUCCUACUCUCUAACCCAUGAUUGGUGUGGAUCAAAUUGGUCUGCCAGAAUGGUGUUUCAUGCUUUUAGGUGACUCUCAUAUUACAUACAAGAUGAAUUCAGGGUUCUGGGUCACUAAAUCUCACCAUUGACCUGGGGAUUGUGUUGUGUGUGUGGGGCUGUGCAUUAGCUCUCACUGGUCUGUGUUCCAACUGUGGUGCUGCCUCUGGUGUAGACCCCCAUGCUUGUGAGGGUGCUGGCAUUGUUCUUUACCCUGUUCACCUCCCACCACUGGCACCAGGGAGAUAACCCUACCCACCUCUGCAGGUUCUGCACCUUGUGUCAGGCCAGGCCCACUUCAUCUGAGACCUUUUAAAACUGUGCUCCACAAAGCCAACGGCCCUUCCAAUCAAUGUCCUCUCGUUUCCAAUGAUAGUGACAUUGUGCUCUCCAGGUUUGGACUUAAGUUAUACUGAUGAAGAAAUGGACAUUCCUCGCACAAAUGAAAAUGCUCUUCUUGCUCCACGCAUGGGCCUCUUGCCUGUGUUUCCCCGGUGUUGCCAAAAGAUCACGGUCUAGGAAUGCAGUAAUUACAGCCUAAAAAGUUCAGGAGAAGACAUGGUUGGACUAUGUGUUCUAUGUUUAUGCUCAAAAAGUCCAAAUGGAAAACAUAAUAUGACGAGAAAAUAAAUUUAUUAUUCACAUUUUCCUGCAUACUCUGGGUAAGACUUGCAUUUCUGGUAAUCACCAAUGAAGCACAGUAACCUUUGAGUCACUGGAAGCCAGUACUCACAGUGGCACAAUAGACACAGAAUCAUCAUAAUGAUGUAACCAGCAUUAAAUAAAUGGAAACUGUAGAGGCCAAGGUCUGUAUAGUUCACUACAAACAGGUUCAAAAGAGUCAUGGCAUUGUGAAUACUAACAGCAUUACUACUCUUUUAUCACAGUGGGAGAUAUGAAUUUAGCCAGGAAUGGCACAUUUGACAAUAAAGAACCUGAAGGGACUAUUUCCUAGGGCAGAGGAAGAAAUGGUGCCCAUAUCCUAUAAAGAAUCUAUAUGUGCACUGAUUGGGGAAUAAACACACACCUUCUCUCUACCCAUUGUUCUAAAUCUUCAUUGACAAGUCAUUUUAUCUUACUUGGGCCCAUGAAUUUUGUAAUACAUUUUUAAAUCAAAUUGUUUAUAUAGACAAUGGUCCUGUGAAAAAUAUUUGCCCUGUGGGCAGCCAUGAGCAAAGCAGGGCAGAACUAUGAGAAACCAGAAACCAUGAGAAUAGUACCUUGGAAGUGAUCAAAUAAAUACAGAAUGACAGAUCCAUUGGAUUGAGGGGUAGAAAACCACUGACACUACAGCCACUGGAGGUAGGGGAGAGAGAACAGAUUGCAGCAAGGUAAAUAGU